rnacentral:rRNA from 1 species
AUACGGAAGGUGCAAGCGUUAAUCGGAAUCACUGGGCGUAAAGCGCUCGUAGGUGGCUUUGUAAGUCAGGUGUGAAAGCCCACGGCUCAACCGUGGAACUGCGUUCGAAACUGGGAGGCUUGAGUUCGGGAGAGGGUGGCGGAAUUCCAGGUGUAGGAGUGAAAUCCGUAGAUAUCUGGAGGAACAUCAGUGGCGAAGGCGGCCACCUGGACCGAUACUGACGCUGAGGUGCGAAAGCGUUGGGAGC